GACGAACGCUGGCGGCAUGCCUAACACAUGCAAGUCAACUUGACUGAAGGAGCAAUCUGACAGUAGAGUGGCGCAAGGGUGCGUAACGCGUAAGUAACUUGCCCCAAGGUAAGGAAUAACGUCGAGAAAUCGGCGCUAAUACCUCAUAAUGCAGCGGAUCCGCAUGGAUAUGUUGUUAAAGGUUUACCGCCUUGGGAUAGGCUUGCGUCUGAUUAGCUAGUUGGUGUGGUAACGGCACACCAAGGCUACGAUCAGUAACUGGUCUGAGAGGAUGAUCAGUCACACUGGAACUGAGACACGGUCCAGACUCCUACGGGGGCAGCAGUGAGGAAUAUUGGGCAAUGCUCGAAAGAGUGACCCAGCAACGCCGCGUGGAGGAUGAAGGUAUUCUAUAUCGUAAACUCCUGUGAGAGCAGACGAAAGACAGAUUAUUAAUCUGGAUGACUGUAUGCUCAGAGG
rnacentral:rRNA from 1 species